GGCUCCUUAGCACCAGAGAAAGCAUAAUCAGGUUCUCCUGUUUGUUUCCUGUGAUGUGCUCUUUGUAAUGGAAGUUGAAUAAAAUGUAAAGACAAAUCCUG